CUAAAUUCUGCAAUGCACUUUACUCUAAAUUCUCUAUUUAGUUAAUAUAAACACAUUUGGCAGUUUUUGUGUUCACUGCAGGGCACCUGAUUUUAAAUGCUGUAAUGCAGGGAGUUGGUGGGCAGUUGGUAUGGAAAUUGUACAGACGAGGCUAAAAUAACCCAAAUCUUAUUUGGUCUAAAUUGUGUGCUUCCCGUGUCAGUCUCCCACAUUCCUCCUUUUAGUAAAUGAACCCCCA